UUGUAGUCAUAUGCUUGUCUCAAAGAUUAAGCCAUGCAUGUCUAAGUAUAAGCAACUUUGUACUGUGAAACUGCGAAUGGCUCAUUAAAUCAGUUAUAGUUUAUUUGAUGGUUUUUGCUACAUGGAUAACUGUGGUAAUUCUAGAGCUAAUACAUGCAUUCAAGCCCCGACUUCUGGAAGGGGUGUAUUUAUUAGAUAAAAAUCAACUUUGUUGGUGAAUCAUAAUAACUUCUCGGACCGCAUGGCCUCGUGCUGGCGGUGCUUCAUUCAAAUAUCUGCCCUAUCAACUGUCGAUGGUAGGAUAGAGGCCUACCAUGGUUGCAACGGGUAACGGGGAAUAAGGGUUCGAUUCCGGAGAGGGAGCCUGAGAAACGGCUACCACAUCCAAGGAAGGCAGCAGGCGCGCGGGUAACCCAAUCCCGACACGGGGAGGUAGUGACAAUACAUAACAAUAUACGGCUUUAACGUCGUAUAAUUGGAGGGAGUACAAUUUAAAUCCCUUAACGAGGAA
rnacentral:rRNA from 1 species